AUUAAGCCAUGCAAUUGUAAUUAUAAAUAGACAGAAGUACUAUGAGAAUGAGAAUGGCUCAUUAAAUCAGCAAUUAUUUAAUCGGUGGAUGAAGUAAUUCUAGAGGGAUAACCGUGGGAAAGCUAGAGCUAAUACAUGCAAAGAGAGUUCUGUAGAGGAAUGCGUAUAUUAGAUACAAAGCCAACGAAGAAGGUGAGUCAUAAUAUCCGAGCAGAUCGCAAAAGUGGGCAACCACAGGCGACAAACCGAUCAAAUUUCUGCCCUAUCAACUAGAUGGUAGUGUAGGGGACUAACAUGGUGAUAACGGGUAACGGAGAAUGAGGGUUUGAUUCCGGAGAGGGGGCACGAGAAAUGGCCACCACUUCUAAGGAAGGCAGCAGGCGCGUAAAUUACCCAAUCCGGACACCGGGAGGUAGUGACAAAAUAUAACAAUGGAUGUAUGAAAGUAUGUCUAAUUGGAAUGAGAACAAAUUAAACCACUUAUCGAGUAACAAUUGGAGGGCAAGUUCUGGUGCCAGCAGCCGCGGUAAUUCCAGCUCCAAUAGUGUAUACGAAUGUUGUUGCAGUUAAAACGCUCGUAGUUGGGAGUGAACAUAGGGUAAUGGAAGGGGAUAGAGGAGAUGAAGAGUCGAAUUUGUCACCAGUUACUUUAUAAGAAAGACCAAGAUGGAUGGUACGAAAGUAUCAUGUGUCAGAGUUUACUUUGAAUAAAUUAGAGUGCUAAAAGCAGGGAGGAUCUAGGAGACUAGGUUCAAAGAGCCGGAAUAAGAAAGCAUGGGAUAAUAGAAGAGGAUCCGGAAGAAGAGGUUGGCGAAAUUCUUGAGGAUAAUGAGAAAUAGGAACGGUUGGGGGUAUUUGUAUUGAAUAGUCAGAGGUGAAAUUCAAGGAUUUGUUCAAGACAGACAACAGCGAAAGCAUUUACCAAGGACGUUUCCAUUAAUCAAGAACGAAAGUUUGGGGAUCGAAGAUGAUCAGAUACCGUCGUAGUCCAAACCAUAAACAAUGCCGACCAAGGAUAAGAGGUCGUGAUUAUAAGAGAUUAUAAUGAACUCCUUUUGAACUUUAGAGGGAAACCAGGAGUGUUUGGGUUCUGGGGGGAGUACGGUAGCAAGGCUGAAACUUGAAGGAAUUGACGGAAGGGCACCACAAGGUGUGGAACCUGCGGCUUAAUUCGACUCAACACGGGGAAACUUACCAGGUCCGGACAGUAGCAGGAUUGACAGAUUGAGAGCUCUUUCUUGAUUUAUUGGUUGGUGGUGCAUGGCCGUUCUUAGUUCGUGGAACUGAUCUGUCUGCUUAAUUGCGUUAACGAACGAGACCUUAGUUUAUUAAUUAGUUGGCGGAAAGUAAGCGAUUACUUUUGCGACCAAGUGAGGUAGGGAAGCCUAUGUCACUAGUACUUCUUAAAAGGACUGCAUGUAUACAGCAUGAGGAAGUUUAAGGCAAUAACAGGUCUGUGAUGCCCUUUAGAUGUUCUGGGCUGCACGCGCGUUACACUGAAUAUCGCAAUAGGUGUAGAAGUGGAGAUGCGGAGGUAUGGCUCGCAAGGGCUGUAGUUGUGCGUGUUCACGAAUCCUUUAUUGAAGAAUAUGGGUAAACCGAGGAAAGAUAUUCGUGAUGGGGAUUGUUAAUUGUAAUUAUUUAACAUGAACGAGGAAUACCUAGUAAGCGCAAGUCAUCAGCUUGCGCUGAUUACGUCCCUGCCCUUUGUACACACCGCCCGUCGCUCCUACCGAUGAAUAGUCCGGUGAAAUAUUGGGAGUUGGUGGACAGCAAUGUCUGUUGGCGAACUUUAUUAAAUCUUAUUAUUUAGAGGAAGGAGAAGUCGUAACAAGGUAUCCGUAGGUGAACCUGCGGAUGGAUCAUUCAUAUG
rnacentral:rRNA from 1 species